rfam:Triticum aestivum genome assembly, contig: Triticum_aestivum_CS42_TGACv1_scaffold_631508_7DS
CUUGUACUCCCUCCGUCCAAAAAUACUUGUCAUUGAAAUGGAUGUAUCUAGAUGUAUUUUAGUUCUAGACACAUCCAUUUUGAUGACAAGUAAUUCCGAACGGAGGGAGUACUUG